GUACCCGUAGCUCAAUUGGAUAGAGCACCUGACUACGGAUCAGGAGGUUGCAGGUUCGAGCCCUGCCGGGUACGCCA
rnacentral:tRNA from 4 species